rnacentral:rRNA from 1 species
AGGAUGAACGCUAGCGGCAGGCUUAAUACAUGCAAGUCGAACGGUAACAGGUCUGUAGCAAUACAGACGCUGACGAGUGGCAGACGGGUGAGGAACACGUACACAACUUUCCUUUAUCUGGUGAAUAGCCCCGAGAAAUCGGGAUUAAUACACCAUAGUAUCUUGGAGUGACAUCACUUUGAGAUUAAAGCUCAGGCGGAUAAAGAUGGGUGUGCGUCUGAUUAGCUAGUUGGUGAGGUACGGCUCACCAGGCGACGAUCAGUAACUGGUGUGAGAGCACGGACCAGUCACGACGGGCACUGGAGACGUACGGGCCCACGUCCGUAGGGAGCGAGCAAGUAAGGAAUAGUUGGUACAAGUGGGAGGACUAACGUCUAGA